UCGAGUAGCCUGACUACUCUCAUAUUUAUCCAUCCAUGAGACAACAGGCGUGCCCUAGGACGUAGAGGCGAGACGGAUCGGAGGCUCUCAAAGAUAGAUGAAGGCCGAACAUUGAGUCGAAGUGGACAUUGUUGAAAAAAUAUCUUGAGAUUCGAUUCACAAUAAGCUUAGAACGAGAUUCAGGAUGAUGAACAGAAUUUAACGAGCCCA
rnacentral:lncRNA from 1 species